UGGAUACCCGUGGUAAUUCUAGAGCUAAUACAUGCUGAAAGCCUCGACUUCGGAAGGGGUGUAUUUAUUAGAUAAAAAACCAAUGCCCUCCGGGGCUCCUUGGUGAUUCAUAAUAACUUGUCGAAUCGCAUGGCCUUGCGCCGGCGAUGGUUCAUUCAAAUUUCUGCCCUAUCAACUUUCGAUGGUAGGAUAGUGGCCUACCAUGGUGGCAACGGGUAACGGGGAAUUAGGGUUCGAUUCCGGAGAGGGAGCCUGAGAGACGGCUACCACAUCUAAGGAAGGCAGCAGGCGCGCAAAUUACCCAAUCCCGAUACGGGGAGGUAGUGACAAUAAAUACUGAUACAGGGCUCUUUCGGGUCUUGUAAUUGGAAUGAGUACAAUCUAAAUCCCUUAACGAGGAACAAUUGGAGGGCAAGUCUGGUGCCAGCAGCCGCGGUAAUUCCAGCUCCAAUAGCGUAUAUUAAAGUUGUUGCAGUUAAAAAGCUCGUAGUUGAACCUUGGGUCUGGCUGGCCGGUCCGCCUCACCGCGUGCACUGGUCCGGCCGGACCUUUCCUCCUGGGGAGCCUCAUGGCCUUCACUGGCUGUGGGGGGAACCAGGACUUUUACUGUGAAAAAAUUAGAGUGUUCAAAGCAGGCCUUUGCUCGGAUACAUUAGCAUGGAAUAAUAGAAUAGGACGUGUGGUUCUAUUUUGUUGGUUUCUAGGACCGCCGUAAUGAUUAAUAGGGAU
rnacentral:rRNA from 1 species